UAGAGACCUUAAGAUUGACGUUUACGGCAAACGUCAAACCGCUAGCGAAGUUUUUGAUUUUACAGCUCUAUUAUAAUAGCUUUUACACCAGUUUUGAACUGCUACGAGGGCUUGUAGUCGUUAAAGCAUGAAAUUUAUACGUCAAACGUCAACUUCAAACGCUAAAUCUUAAUUUACAGCUUUGGUGAAUGGCAUGACUAGUGGUUAAUUUUCUUUCUUAAAUCAUUGCUAAAGAGCAGAAGUUUAAUCAGUUUAACAUAUUUCAAAACUGGUGUAAAAGCUACAAUAAUAGAGCUGUAAAAUCAAAAACUUCGCUAGCGGUUUGACCUUUGCCGUAAACGUCAAUCUUAAGGUCUCUA